rnacentral:rRNA from 1 species
GAUGAACGCUGGCGGCGUGCCUAAUACAUGCAAGUCGAACGAGGUGCUUUUGUAGCAAUACGAGAGUAUCCUAGUGGCGAACGGGUGAGUAACGCGUUGGUGACCUACCCAAAGUGUGGGAUAACAGUCCGAAAGGAUUGCUAAUACCGCAUGUGGUCUUCGGAUUUAGAAACUGAUGACUAAAGGAGCAAUUCGCUUUGGGAGGGACCUGCGUCCCAUCAGCUAGUUGGUGAGGUAAUGGCUCACCAAGGCUACGACGGGUAGGGGACCUGAGAGGGUGACCCCCCACAAUGGAACUGAAACACGGUCCAUACACCUACGGGUGGCAGCAGUAGGGAAUAUUGCACAAUGGGCGAAAGCCUGAUGCAGCAACGCCGCGUGUGCGAUGGAAGGCCCUUCGGGUCGUAAAGCACUUUUCUGGGAGAUGAGCAAGGACAGUAUCUCAGGAAUAAGUCUCGGCUAACUACGUGCCAGCAGCCGCGGUAAU